GAUAAACGCUAGCGGCAGGCUUAACACAUGCAAGUCGAGGGGCAGCAUAGAUUGUAGCAAUACAAUUGGUGGCGACCGGCGCACGGGUGCGUAACGCGUAUGCAACCUACCCGUCACAGGGGGAUAAUCCGGAGAAAUCUGGUCUAAUACCCCAUAACAUAUGGAUCGGCAUCGGGUCAUGUUGAAAUUUUCGGAGGUGACGGAUGGGCAUGCGUAGCAUUAGCUUGUUGGUGAGGUAACGGCUCACCAAGGCGACGAUGCUUAGGGGGACUGAGAGGUUUUCCCCCCACACAGCUACUGAGACACGGACCAGACUCCUACGGGAGGCAGCAGUGAGGAAUAUUGGUCAAUGGGCGCAAGCCUGAACCAGCCAUGCCGCGUGCAGGAUGACGGCUCUAUGAGUUGUAAACUGCUUUUGUACGAGGGUAAAGUGGGUUACGUGUAACCUUUUGAAAGUAUCGUACGAAUAAGGAUCGGCUAACUCCGUGCCAGCCGCCGCGGUAA
rnacentral:rRNA from 1 species